rnacentral:rRNA from 1 species
CUGUCUCUUUUCUAAUAAUUUGAAUUUACUUUGUAAGUGAGAAAGCUUACUGUUUGAAGAGGGAGGAGAAGACCCUUAGAAUUUUACUUAUAUGUUUAAUCAUACUGGUUUUGUUGGGGUGACGAAGAAAUAUAUUANGACUUUCUUUAAAAUACUUGCCGAUUAUAUUAAGUGAGAAUAAAUUACCUGAGGGAUAACAGCAUAAUUCUACAUUUGAGUUUGUGACCUCGAUGUUGGACUAGGAAACUAGCAAGCUAGCCGUUUGCUUUGUGGGUUCUGUUCGAACUUAAUUCCU